AACAACAUCCCUAAUUUAAUGACAUGAUUUUUUUAUAUAUUUUAAUUGCAGUUAUUUAGAUUAACCUAUUUUUACAAUUAUAUAUUAACUUAAUCAUUUAAAUGGUAAUUGAUGACCCUAGCUUCCAAUUUGCCGCCAACCGUCUGGAGGAGAAGUGCCACGCCACCUGGAUGGGGGGAGAGGAAGAGAACAUCGAGAUACUGCAGGAGGCCUCUACAACUGGCCUAAUGACAUGCACGCCUCCGACAGAGGCCAUGCCGCCGUGAAAUCCCAAGAAAAGAACGUCGAAACCGCC
rnacentral:lncRNA from 1 species